rnacentral:misc_RNA from 1 species
CGUAGUACAGAUGGUGUGAUAACAAGUGAUGCAGCUUGUAGUAUUAAUGGAAGGAUUAGAUGAAAGAAACUGGUAUUAUGGAUGAUUAAUCGUCAUUGGAUGAGUCAUUAGAAUAAUUUCAGAAGGGAGAGAUGAACUUGGGUGGUUAUGUGAGAAAAGACAAAUCUACAUGAAUGACAGUAAGAGGAAGAGAUGCUGUAAGUGGAUGUACAGUAGUCAUCUUGAUUGAUGGAAAAGUGGAAGUUGUGGUAAUUGUUUAAGUUAAAAUCCUGAACAAAAUGGCUGCUGCUAAACAGUGUAAUUUUGAAGCUAGUACAGGUAUCUCAACAGCAGCUGAAACAUUAAAAGUGAAUGAGGAAAACAGAAAAAGAGUCAUACCUGAAAGUACAAGUAUGACUAGUGUUCAAGAUUCAGGAAUAUGUUCUAACCAGGACCCAUCUGCUAAUGAGAGAGAAACAUCAUUACCUUCCCAGGUGCAAUCUAGUCGAGAAAAUGAACCCUCUGCUUAUGUAACAUCAACACCAAUUAAGAAGAAAGUAAAUGAGAAAAUCAGUGAAUUUGAAAUUUUACCCAGUCAGAUGAUUCUUGAUGACCCGCUUUUAUCCUCUAUUGAUGAGCCCGGAGAUUUGACAGAACACCAGGUUGACAGUAUAGUAUCGGACGAUGACUUUGAAGAUAACUAUUCAAAAUUAUACGAAACAAAGAUAAAAACAGAUUUUGAUACUACCAAAAAAUAUUCCCUUAUGACCAGAUUUAUGAAUGAUGUGUCAACUAGACCAAGAAUACAAAGAAGUCAUUCCUUCUCCGGCAGUGUUAAACAAAUUUCCUCAGAGUCAGAACCAUCGUCUGUAAUGAAGAAUCUCUUUGAUAUUCCUGUGAGCCCAAAACUGAAGAGUCGAGUGCGUCAGCGCCUGUACACUUUAGUUAAUUCUAUUGAUGGUUAUCAAGGAAAAAUCAAUAUUGAGGAAGAAGAAGAAAAUAUCAGAAAAUUAUGUUUGAAAACAGUCGAGUCCGUGUCAAAUUCUAAAGUGAACAUAUCUGCAAGUACUCAAACAAAUGCAAAUUUAAUUGUUGAUUCAAAGGGGAAACCACAUAGAAGUGCUUGUAUGAAAGGAGAUUUUGAAGAUACCAUUUUAUUAAAGAACAAUGUAAAUAACACCAAUGUGUGUAAAUGCCACCCACAAGGUUGUAGUGUAUUAAACACCAGUGAUAAAAAACAUGCCUCAAGUCUAGAUCAAACUGUCUUAUCUACUCUUAGUCAUAAUGUAAGUGAAAAGUAUGGUAGUGUUAUGUCCAGUUUACUAGAAUCUCAGAUGAGAACACUUCAGCUCCACCAGGAACAGCUCAACCAGGAAAAAUUAAGUCUUGCCAUGCAGAAAAAAGAUCAUGAAGCUCAAGCCAGAAUAUCUGUGUAUCAAGAAAAGUUGCAGCUAAUGAUCCAGAUGGUGGAAGAACUAGAAUUUAAGUUGUCAGAAAUGCAAAAGAAGAUGAGAGACCAAGCUGAAUAUUAUCAACACAAGAUAAAAAAACAAGAUGAAGUGCAUAAGGAAAGUUUGGCAGUGAUGAGAAUGGAAUGUGAGAAAAAGAUGCAUGAACUAGAAUCUAGAAUAUUAUCAGUUCGCAAGGAAAUGACACAAUCCUGUGACCAAAAUAUUUUGGCAGUGUUAUCAUCUACACAAGAAAAGGCAACGGUAAUUGAAAAAGAACAUGAAGCACACAUCCUUCAGUUAAAUUCUGUCAUCAGCAAACUAAGGGCAGACAAAAGAGAACUUGAAUUUUCCUUAGAAAACUCGUAUUCAAACCCUGACAACAAGGAACUAGAUGCAAACAUUGCUGAGAUUUGUAAUGAAAAAGACUCCCUGAAACAAGAAAUUGAUACAUUGAAACAAAGGUUAAAAGCACCGUGUGAUACAGAUGAAACAGUUGUUGCACUCCAAGAGGAUAUAUCAAAUUUAGAGAUAGCCAAAAGACUGCUUCAGGAAGAAGUUGACGUGUGGAAGAAAGAAUCAGAAACACUGCAACAGAAAUUAAGUGCUACUGAACUAGGGCACAAAAAGUUAUUAGAUGAAGCUCUUCAGGGAUCACACUUAUUGGCGAAACAGGAAGUGGAAAGACUGCAGAUACAAAAUACUCGUGAAAAUGAGAGACUUAAUAAGACAAUUACCCUAUUAAAAGAGAAGCAAUCUCAAGCUUUAUCUGAAAAUUUAGUCCUUCGGCAACAGAAUAGUCAACUUCUUAAAGUAGAGAAAGACCAUAAGGAGUAUUCAUCCUCAAGAGAAACAUUAGAGAAGGAGGUGGCUUCUCUUAGAUCAGAGCUGCAACAAGCAGAAUCUCAAGUACUUCAACAACAGAUGAAUUUUAAACGCUUACAAAAAGCGCAUGCCAAUGAGUUAACAAAGUACCAGGAAGCUCAUAGACAAAGAAUGCUUAACUAUCAAGUUUCCAUGGAAAGAGAAAGAUCAUCAGCAGUAUCUCAAGCCCUGGCCCGCCAACAGGAAGAAACAAAAAUCCUCAUAACAGAAGUUGGAUCUCGUUAUGAAAAUUUACUUGGAAGUGUUCAAGCACAUGCUAAAGCUCAGAUGCAUGAGUAUAAAAAGAAUGGUGUAACACAUAUGACACAUGCAGGAGGUACUGCCCAUCCUUGGUGAUUGCCAGGCUAAGCAGUUGAACUAUCACAUAGCCCAGAGGAUGGUUUGUGUGUAGAAGAAGCUAUUCUCUCUACAUAAUAAUUAUAUAUACUAUACAUUACCAGUAAAUGUACAUAUAUCAACUCAAAGUUAUGAGUUAAAAAAUAACAAUAACAGCUUCACCCGGUAGCAGGAGAGGCAAGGUAAUGUGGCAACUGUGAAAUCUAACUUGGCUACCUGCCAAAUCCACACACACACACGCGUCAAUGUAAGGCUGUUCAGUUUCUGAAGAUGAAGAUAAAAAAGAUGGAGGAAGGAAAAUGAAAUUUGCAAAUAUUUUUGGAAAGUUAGACACUGUACGCUAUAAACAAUAAAAAUUAAAAAAAAAUCUAUUAGAUGUUCUUAGAUUUAUUAAUCAUCUUUGUUUGUUGAGGAAUAUCAGUACAGGGUAAU